GAUGACCAUAAGUGUGUGUCGAACUUUUCAUGACCUGAUGACUGUGUUUCCCAAUCCUGAUCCUGGAGAACCCCAGCACUGCACGGUUUUGGUGUCUCUCUUAUCUGACAAACACACUUUUGAGGCCUUGGAGUCUUCACUGAUGAGCUGAUGAGUUGAAUCAGGUCUACAAUAUCGAGCUCAACAGCUCUUUUAAGAGCCAACCCUCACAAACCUUCCUAAAAACUAAAAGAGCUAUUACUGAGUCUCAGUGAAUCUUGCCAUGAUCAGCUCUUCCCAUAAGAGAAGGAAGACCAAGGAAAUGAUUUGUUCAGGAUGAGGAAUGAAGACGGCCAUCUUGUGCUCAAACAAACACAAGUCCUC